ACCAUUCUAGCUGUUUCUAUACCUCACUUCUCAUUCCUGUCCUUUUUUGUCUAUAAAUUUGUUCUGACCACGAGGCAUCCCUGGAGUCUCUCUGAAUCUGCUGUGAUUCUGGGGGCUGCCCGAUUCAUGAACUGUUCAUUGCUCAACUAAACUCCUUUAAAUUUAAUUUGGCUGAAGAUUUUAUCAGGUGGUGUCAGAAGUGGUAUCUGAAGCGGAGGUUCCAGCAACUCCCAGGAGCACUGAAUGAACACACAAGGUAGCUGCAGGACCACUGUGUCCAUUGAUCUCUCAGAGCAGCUGGGGAUCGUGGCCAGACGAAAAAAGGUAAAUUUCCUUUAUGAUGCUGCUUGGCCCUCAGCACGAUGGUGCAAGCUGGAUCACUGGGGCUGCUCAGGGAAAAGGAACCCAGAAGCCUGGAAUGCUGGCAAAAGGGUUGUAAAUGCUUGCCAGACAUCUCUGGGACAUCAAAUGGUCUCUCUUCAACUGGAAUGACAAAAGCUGAAAGAAAUGGGUGACCAUGAGGACGCUGCAACUUAUGAAUGACGUGCUGAGACUGGAAACCCAAGAUAAUGGUAACUGAGGGACCCUAAGUUUUGUUCACACUCUCGCCUAAGUGAGAACCUGGCCAAAAAGGGGGAAUUUUUUAAAACGAAAUUAUGGGAAACCAUUAUUUUCGACUGAGUUCAUGUGCUAGGCCCCAACAAACCAAACCAAACUAAUAUGGAGUGACUCAUGCUAAAUAUGACAUAAUCAAGCUAAGGCUUUAAGAAAACACAUAGAUCCUAGAACAGACCAGGUUUUGUUUUUCCCCUGUAAACAGGAUGGUCCAGCAUAAGGUACUCUCUACUCAGUCCUUAUUCUCUCCUUGCAAAACACACUAUUCUGUUCCCCAGUAGGUUUCAAAAUCAUAUAAGUACAUUCACAACAGUAACAGUAACAUCAAUAACUAAGGUUUUGGUCAACCUCUCAAAAUUGAGAAAAUGACCAAAAGGGGGGAAUUGUUAAAGCAAAUUAAAUACAGCCCCAGAAGGACUCUGUACUUCUAUAUUUGAGUCCUUGUGGAUGAACUGUAACCUAGCUUAAUAGUCAGACAAAAUUGAAAACCUAAUAGUAUGCACCUGUAACAAUAGCAGAGUGUUGGCCAAUCCCAGGGGCCAUACUUCAACCACUCAUAGACUACUGAAUGUUCAAACUGUGUUCAAAUAAGGUAAAUGCUGAGCUGUAUGUAACCAAUCCCACUGUGUCUGUAUCUCACUUCCAAUUCCUGUCCUUUUUUGUCUAUAAAUUUGUUCUGACCACGAGGCAUCCCUGGAGUCUCUCUGAAUCUGCUGUGAUUCUGAGGGCUGCUCAACUGGUGAAUUGUUCAUUGCUCAAUUAAACCCCUUUAAAUUUAAUUCGGCUGAAGAUUUUCUUCAAGAAACUAAGGAAGUGAGACACCACCAGAUUAUGGAACUUAACCAAUGUCACACAGCCAGAAGUGGAGCAGCUAGGAUUUGAACUUGAGCAGGCUAGUUCCAGAGCCCAUGCUCUUAUCACUAUGCUGCCUCUGAAAUCAGACUACCAAGAAAAGAGCAACUGGUAAUCGGAUUUGUGUAAGAGACUGGAAUAUGUAAGUAAGGUCUCAUUUCUGCUAGAUUUGAAUUCUGCUUUGGCUUAUCGAAAGGCUUAGUGAUCCCACUUAACAUGCAUGUACAAUGUGCUGUGCAAGGUUGCAAAGGAGGAACUAUGAAGGUUUUUCAGGUGGUCCUGGCCAAAGUAAAGUUGUGGACAGAGAAGCAGAUUGAGGAGCCAGGUGACUGGGGAAACAGAGGAGCAUUUAUUAAUAGUAAUUACUAUGCAUUUAAUGUUGAGACUAUGUACACCAUUGCAUUUAACCUACAGGGAACACAUUUAUUGAAUACAGAAAUUGCUGAAACUAGUUCAGCUUUGUCUUAAGAAAUGACUAACAUUACUAUUAGUAUAGACCAUCAUCAUCUUUUCUCCCAUUUUUUUUCCACACCCAGCCACUCUACCUCAGAAGGCAGCCAAGCCUCUAUGGAGGCUGUCAGUGGCAUCUUCUGUUGCUAGGAUUCACUGUCUUCAAUCUUUCCUCUCACUGGUUCUAUAGCCACUGAACUGUGAGCUCUUUGAGAAUGGUGACAUUGCCUAUCCUGCUCGUACAUCCCUCCACUACUGCAUGUAUCCCCCUGAGCUGUGAUUUAUCACCUCAGUCAUUUUUGAAGUCAGGUACCUGUUCCUAUCCGUCUGUGUAAUCUAGGCAUUUAUGACAGUGUCUGGCACAAUGUGUAGCUGGUCAAAAUAUUGAAUAAUCAAAUACUUAAUAAGGUUUGUUCAGAUUUUAGGGAAGCAAACUAAAAGAUAUCCAAAUGUUUCUAAGUUUUCUAGGCUCAUUGAUGAGGGAAAAUAGACAGGAAUUUGAAGUUGAAAAUACUAAAUUGUUCUUAGAUUAUGUUCCUGGACAUUUCCUGUCCUGUAUUUAUUCAGAACACUGAAAGAAGACUGUUGAUUACGCCAAAUGAAAAGCAAAUAGUCCAUUUGGGGUGGUGAGGCUGCUGGAGAGCUGGUGAUGUUCUGCUUGUUGAUGUGGAUGCUGUUUACAGAGAUGUGUCCUCUGUUUACAGAGACUGUAAAAACAGUGAACUAUACAUGAAUGAGGUAGACUUUUCUGCAUAUAUAUCUCAAUGUUCUUAAAGCAAAUAUUACA